rnacentral:rRNA from 1 species
AUUGAACGCUGGCGGCAGGCCUAACACAUGCAAGUCGAACGGUAGCACAGAGAGCCUGCUCUCGGGUGACGAGUGGCGGACGGGUGAGUAACGUCUGGGAAACUGCCCGAUGGAGGGGGAUAACUACUGGAAACGGUAGCUAAUACCGCAUAACGUCGCAAGACCAAAGUGGGGGACCUUCGGGCCUCACACCAUCGGAUGUGCCCAGAUGGGAUUAGCUAGUAGGUGGGGUAAUGGCUCACCUAGGCGACGAUCCCUAGCUGGUCUGAGAGGAUGACCAGCCACACUGGAACGGAGAAACGGUCCAGACUCCUACGGGAGGCAGCAGUGGGGAAUAUUGCACAAUGGGCGCAAGCCUGAUGCAGCCAUGCCGCGUGUAUGAAGAAGGCCUUCGGGUUGUAAAGUACUUUCAGCGGGGAGGAAGGCGGUGGAGUUAAUAACUUCACCGAUUGACGUUACCCGCAGAAGAAGCACCGGCUAACUCCGUGCCAGCCGCCGCCGUAACAC